AUUCUGGUGGCCUAGUGGUUUGAACAUCUGCCUCAGAUGCAGGAGGUUGCAGGUUUGAUUCUUGGCUUAGUCUA